rnacentral:tRNA from 1 species
GCCUUUGUGGUGUAGUGGUCAGCACGCUCGGCGCGUAACCGAGAGGUCCAUGGUUCGAUUCCCGGCAAAGGCG